UACGUAGGGGGCAAGCGUUGUCCGGAAUCAUUGGGCGUAAAGAGCUCGUAGGCGGUGUGUCGCGUCGGCCGUGAAAACCUGGGGCUCAACUCUGGGCGUGCGGUCGAUACGGGCAUCACUGGAGUUCGGCAGGGGAGACUGGAAUUCCUGGUGUAGCGGUGAAAUGCGCAGAUAUCAGGAGGAACACCGGUGGCGAAGGCGGGUCUCUGGGCCGAUACUGACGCUGAGGAGCGAAAGCAUGGGUAGCGAACAGG
rnacentral:rRNA from 1 species